UGAGAUUCAGAGUUUUGCUUUAUUAGGCAUCUGUGAAGACAAGAGUUUGCAGACACAAUCCUGUCUGGUGGCGAACUGCUGCAAAGUUCUGUGAAGUUUGAAUUUAUCUUGUAGUGAACGAGACCCCAGUAGCUGAUAUUUUAGAAUAGUGGUCCAUAUUUCAAGCAGAUGAGAGGUGUGACGUUAUGGCCAACAACUUUUAUACUAGCCAUCCACUUAAGCCAUUUCCCAGCAUACAUAUGCAGCUUAAUCACAGCUAUACAUUUCUACAAUGUGAAAUUCGAUCUUUGACUAAUAAUGCGUUUUGACUCCUGUUUACAUUGGUGCAUGCGAUUCUUUGCUACCCUGGCAAUUAGCCAGACCUGGACUCUAAAAGCUAAACUUGGUCUAAAUAACAUUCUAAGGGUAAGGCAGCCUCUAUAAUCUGGACUCAGCCAUCAUUUUGCAAAAACAGUUGUAUGGUUCCUCCUGUUUCCCCUCCUGUCUGUAACCUGUCUGUUAUUCAGCAUUUAUUCAUGCCUGCUGUGUUCGGAAAGGGCAGUUACAAGGGAAAGCUUUGAUGAUUCUGCUUCCUAGAAAGGUGAAUAUCAGAUAAUAUGUCGGGGACAAUUGAGUAAUGGGUCAAGACAACAGGCCUUGUAGAUGCUUUCUAAGAUUAGAAAAAUGUGUUCAAGUGUACUUAUCCAGUGCUCUUAUUCUAGAAUAUUCCAGUGGGGGUAGGGAAGGAGGGAUGGAUUUGGGGGUUUUGUUUAAGGACUUUGACAACUGGGGCUGCAACUCUAUGGCCAAAAGAUAAAAUUAUCAUCCUCUCCAUCACCUGUCUGCCAACACUGCAGAUUUCUAUCUGCUCAUUUAAGAGAAACAGUACACAGGGAGAUAGCGUUAAUGCAAGGCGGGAAAGGCUUUACAUUAGCCCAAAAAAGAGGGGCUUGGCCAUGUUACUCACACUUACACUUAGCCAAGCAGAAAAGCUGGGCUUAUGUACCACUUGGUUUCCUUCUUUGACCCUAGCAUCCUGAAAACGUCACACACAGUGGACCACGCUUUGCCCUCAGAGUGACUGCUCUGUCCCGGAAGGAGAGGUCAACGACCCCUGAGGACGCAAGCGUUUCUUAGGUUGUUCUGCGCAGUCACAUUGCUUCCAGACCAAGAACAUUCAGCUCUUAAAGUCUGCACAGGAGAAUUGAUAGAAUCUGCUCCUUUCAAUGGAAUCUGUGACUCUUUGGGAAGGAUGUGCAUGGAGAAGGGUCUGAUGAGGCUCCUGAUCCAGGUGGUCCAUGUAUGUUCAGUGUGUUCUGACCCUAGGCACCUCUGUCUAUUGCUCAGUCUUGCGUACAUAGUCCAUAGCUUGGCAUCAGCACAAACUGAUGCUUAGUGAGCACAAUUAAGAAAUCAAACUGUGGAAAAUUAAGGACAGUAACAAAAGUAUCAUCAACAAAAAUCAAGGAUCAUUUUCCUUUUUGAAACAAGAAAAGCGCAUCAUAGAAACAAAGAUUCUGUACAAUAUUCUAACAUUAUAUGUACAUAAAAUUAUAUUACUCAUAACUACAUUGAAAAGUCUUAUUUGUAGAAUAUGGCUGGCAACAAAGAAAGACCCAUACCAUUUAGCGUUGGAAGCAGGGCAGGGAGCAAGAGAACACUAGCAAAGACACCUUUGUGCCUGGAUACACAAUCCCGCUACUAAGUUAUGUGACUAACCAGCACUCUCUAGUUCUGUGGUUUGUUCGUGUUUCACAUUCUAGUAGGGAGUUCUGCAGCAGGCGAUGUGAAAAAGAAGACAUGGUCAAAUGAAAUGUGAAAUGCUUUUAAAAUCUGCAUAUUGGCUAUGAUAAUGGGUUUGUGAAUCCAAGUUGCAUUGGAAGUUCGCUCAUUCUCCAUUCAUUAUGCAUGCCUCCAGUGAUUUAAUGAAUUUCAGCAGGUGGAAAAAACAGCUUUGAACAGAUCAGAUGGGCUGUGAGUCAGAUUCUUGAUUCUUUUUCCUCAUUUGGCUCCUGAAUAUUGCAGAAAACUGGUUUUGUACAGUGGGGAAGGAGAGAGUGAAGGCCCUCCAGUUGGUUCCUCAGUCAGCUCUGUUCUUGGUGUCCCUUUCUUGCAAUUUUUUCCCUCCCCUGGCCCUUCCUGUGAGGGUUAAAAGUGCCAUCUCAUCUCCAAGCCAGGUGGAGGCCCAAUCCCAUUGACCAAGAGGGCAAGGUAUGGGGUCACCUUCACGUGUAAGCACUCUUUCUAAGGGAGCCCAAAGGGAACACCUGCAGAGUGUGGGCUGUAGUCUGUGUGUGAACUUGAACGAAAUCUCAAGUUAGUAUUUCUCGAAUUUCAGUUGAACCAUGAUGCAGUCUACACUACAAAUGCAGAUUCUGGUGCAGUUGGCCUCAGUUAAAAAGGGCCCAGAUCCAGGAACCUGUUUUCAACACGCACCCAGGCAAUUCUGAUGCAGGCAAGCCACAGGCCUGCUGUGAAAAAAAAAACAAAACUGACUUAAUCCAUCAAGUAUAGAUCUACAAAUU
ensembl:lncRNA